ACGGGUGAGUAACACGUGGGUGAUCUGCCUCGCACUUCGGGAUAAGCCUGGGAAACUGGGUCUAAUACCGGAUAUGACCAGGGACUGCAUGGUUUUUGGUGGAAAGAUUUAUCGGUGCGAGAUGGGCCCGCGGCCUAUCAGCUUGUUGGUGGGGUAAUGGCCUACCAAGGCGACGACGGGUAGCCGGCCUGAGAGGGCGACCGGCCACACUGGGACUGAGACACGGCCCAGACUCCUACGGGAGGCAGCAGUGGGGAAUAUUGCACAAUGGGCGAAAGCCUGAUGCAGCGACGCCGCGUGAGGGAUGACGGCCUUCGGGUUGUAAACCUCUUUCGACAGGGACGAAGCGCAAGUGACGGUACCUGUAGAAGAAGCACCGGCCAACUACGUGCCAGCAGCCGCGGUAAUACGUAGGGUGCGAGCGUUGUCCGGAAUUACUGGGCGUAAAGAGCUUGUAGGCGGUUUGUCGCGUCGUC
rnacentral:rRNA from 1 species